AGCGUAAUCACUUGUUCUUUAAAUGAGGACUAGUAUGAAUGGCCUCACGAGGGCUGCACUGUCUCCUUUUUCUAAUCAAUGAAACUAAUCUCCCCGUGAAGAAGCGGGGAUGACCAUAUAAGACGAGAAGACCCUAUGGAGCUUUAAACAACUGAAACAAUUGCUUUUCCCUUAGCUUCUCCCGAGCUCUUUAUUUUACCUAAGCAUCUUUAUUUCUAGUUUUAGGUUGGGGUGACCACGGAGCAAAACUAAACCUCCAUGAAGAAACGAGUACUUUUUAAGCUACAAACUACUUUUUUAAGCAUCAACAAAUUGACCUUCAUUGACCCAAUAUAUUGAUCAACGAACCAAGUUACCCUAGGGAUAACAGCGCAAUCUACUUCAAGAGCUCAUAUCGACAAGUAGGUUUACGACCUCGAUGU
rnacentral:rRNA from 1 species